rnacentral:lncRNA from 1 species
AUUUGUUCAAAAUCAUCAUGACAUCACCCUUUCCCUCUGAGAGAGCUACUGUAAUUGCUAUUUACUGAUUCAAGGCCUUUCAGGGUAAUUUCAGAGUCCUUCCACCUCCAGGCCAAAAGCCAAUUACUGGUUCACCCAUCUUCUAUCAAAGCCACAACAAAAUCUGGAGAAAAGCCCCACAAAGGCAGCUUGGCAGCCCCUUCCCCUCCUAGAGGCAGCCCUACAUGGUAUGGAGCUGUCAUCAGCCAGGCAGAAGGGUCUGCUGCCACUGUGCCUUGAGGACAACAGACUAUGCUUUUCCACUGGGCAAAUCUCAUCAGGGGCAGAAGCAGCAAAGGAAGAGCUGGGAUGGCUCCAGAUAGCAGUAAAUUUGUUGGAAAAUGAGGCUUUUGUGAGUUUGUGUGUGAAGUGGAGAGCAGGAAAUCCAGUUUGCAUCUGACAAAUGCAGAUUUGACCCCACAUCUCCAGAAAGGAGGGCAGCCUCCAUCGGCUGAAUGGCUUCAGUCUAAUGCUCCCUGUGCUGAGCUUCUUGGCUUCUUUUCUAUUUUCCUCCUAUAAAUCAGCCCACAAUAGAGAGGAGAAAGCAGGAAGAUAAACAAUCCAAAGAUGGAAAACAAAUAAUUCCAGGUCAAAAAAUAUCUGGUUGACUGAAAUGUUCUGACAAAACAAAAACAAAAACGAUCUCCUCCUCUACACCAUUAUUUCCAACUUAAUUUUCCUGCUGGCCCUUAAACAAAAAUAAAAUUAUCAGACUGGUUUUAGGUCUAUUUGUGCUCGUUCUGAUUUAACAACAGCCUGCAGUGCCACUGCUGCUUGCUGUGACUGCAUCCCCUGACAGUUUGGCGUGGCAAGAGGAAGCUUGGCUCGUUAGAGGGACGUGCCCACGAGGACUUCACAGAAAGAGCCCGCAGACACGUGGCUGUCACACAGCGGCUGUGAGGCACAAGAGGGGAGAAGCAGACAGCUAACAAAGUGCCAUCAUCAGUGCGGCCACGUGGACAGCACUUUGCAUACACAGAUCUGAAAAUGCCUCUCAGAGGAGGGAAAACAUAAUUAGCGCAGUAUGCCGUAGGAUAGAUGUUAAAGCAAUCUGUCUAGCAGACAGAUACUACAGUACAGAAUAAUAUAGAUGUUAAACCAAUGACCCAGAAUCUAGCCAGCUAAAAUCUUAAUCCCCUUUAAAUAGAUUCACAGACAUCCUUUCAUUGCAAACAUUUGAUCUGAGCAGACACUGUAUACUGUUCUGUUGUAUUUAUAGAGCACCAUGACAAAAGUUUGAGAGGUUUGCCCUUAAAUAAUGCUAUUUUUCCCUGUUAAUUUGUCAGCAAAGUGCUGUCUUUGCAUAAAUG